UGCAAAUUGCUUUGAAUCGCCAUUUGUCUUGACCUCAGCAGUACACCAUUAGGCAAGAGAGGAAAAGAUGUAGCUUUACAACAGCUACAUCUGUGCUGAAAUCUACACUGGAUGCUGGACCAACACUUGCGACAUCUAGUGGCUGAUCCUUGAAAGGGCUAUCAAAAUGAAGGCAUGGGAAAAAAAAUGCAAGGAAAAACGAUGGCGUGAAUUCUGAAUUGCCAAGGGUAACCGAAAAAACAUACUUGGUGACUUGGAUACUUGCUUUCCAAAGCUGGCUCACCCAUGGGUGAAUGUAAGCCAUCAAGUGCCAGCAGUGGAGUAUGAGGAGAAGAAGAAUGGAAUUAACGUUUCAGCAGGCCAGACGUCAAAGUUGCAUCCAUGGGACAGGAUGAGAAAAGAAGCAGGAAGUCUUAGGGGCCAUUGGCACUUCCUUUUUCUAACUGGCUAAUUCUGCUCCCCUGACAUCUUCCAGGGCUGGCCGAAGGUUAUGGACAAACAAGUCAAGAUGGUGGCCGCCAUGGUGAGAUUGAAACUCCACUUUGGUUUUUGUGCACUUCGAUUGCACAAUUGUGACGUGGCCAUACUCUGGGGAAACCCCUUGACAGACGUCUCAGUCUGCUGUGGUUCUUUCUUGGGUAACUGAUACCAUCACCUGACUUUCCUCGUGCUCAGCAAUGACUAUGAUUUCCUUGUUAAACUUUUUCUGGAUGCCUCAGCUUAUGAUUCCUGUCCUUAUCUCCAUUGGAUCUGAGCGUUUUGCUUUGAUGAAAGUGCACAUUGGAUAGGAGAAACUGGUUUAGAUCAAAAUCAGGUGACACAGAAACUUUGCAGAGGUCACAGAGACAAGAGCAUGGUUUCUCUGUCUAGAACAGUG